GUCGGUCCGGCGGAGUUUUCCCGGUAUUGUAAUUGUUGAUAAUUAUCCAGUUUGUCUCGAUAAACGUGAAACGAGAUAUUUUAUUCAUCCUUAUCUUGUAAUAAUUGCAAUGGGACCCGCAGACCAAUAAUUGAGUUAAAAAGCCCCGUUUUGAUGAUUAUCUCGAAAACCGGUACUGAUUGGACCCCGCUUUGUUAAUAUAAAGCUACUAAAUACGUAUUUUCAUGUCAUAAACAAUCCAAAGGGGUACCAAUUAUUUGUAAAUAUAAAUAGACCUUUCUAGAGCUUAUUUUCACCCGUAAAAUCAUUUCAUCAGUUUCUCUGCACGAAUACCGAGAGAAACCGAGCGGUGUUCUUCGUGUUCUUCAUAAUCAAACGAGGAUUUGAAGGUGUUAUUGGAAUCCGAUGGAGGCGUAUGAAUAGUCAAAACGAAGCUCUCGACGCGUAGAAUAUAGUAUAAUCAAUCAUAACACUGCAGAUUCAUCAGGAUUUGGACGAGACGUGUACGUUCGAAGACGUCAGAAAGUCGGAAUGGUAUUGCAAAGCGAAUAAGGGAUGAAUCGAGUAAGCGAAGCGAUGUGGCGAAUAGAGUAUAGCUAGAGAUGGUCUAGAGAUUAUGAGAUGCAUAGAUUGUGAAAGUGGAAAGAUGAGAAUGAGCUGUGAGACGGGAGUCAGAUUUAAGGCAAGUAUCCUGCACCCUGCUUUUGGAUAUAUUGCAAAUAUUCUGAUUCAUUCUUUUGAUGUGUUGCAAGUAUCCUUUACCCUUCUCUUGGAUAUCUUGCGAAUAUUCUGAUCCAUUCUUUUUAUACCUGUUGGAAAUAUUCGUACCUCACUUUUUCAUAUUUGAAAGUGUAUAUAUUUUAUCCAUCCUUUUCUAAUUCUCAAAAAUUCAGAUAAUUCCAGUUUUACAAAUUAAUUCGAAGUUCAGAUUGUCAUUGAAGCAUGUGUUGCUCAGUGAUAGUUAGAGCUUUGAAUGAAUUGGGAUCUUAUUGAUUAUUCAACCCGCCAUUGUCAUGCUGGUUUAGCAGGCUAAAUUCAGUUGCUUAGCCGAUAAUGGAGGAUAUUGAAUAGUUAGGGAUUUCCUGAACUAUGAUUUAUGAAAGGAUGGACUGUGACUUAUGAAAAGUUUAUUAUCAAAGUUUGAUUUGAAAUUAUUCAGUUGUUGAUGAUGAUUAUGAUUAUGUUCUGUUAAUUUACAUUGGUUUCAUGAACUGAAUUAUAGAAUUGGAUUAUUGUUUUUAUAUAAACAUGUGGACCAGAUGAGUGGUCAGACCAAAUGAGUGGUCAUGAUAGGCCAAUGAGUGCCUUGGAUCCAGUGAUAGAGCAUGGCGGGGCCUGCUCGGGGUUAGGUAUGACUGAUCAGCAUCCUAACCUUGGUUUUUAAUUAAAAUGUGAUAGUCCAAUUCAAUAAUUCUCUUGUGAAGGAUUGAAUUCCUCAGGUUUCUAUUGCUGCAAGGUAUUGUGAUUCUUUUAUACAAUACCUGAAUUUGUGAACUCAGGUUGAAUCUUUUUAUAUCUUGAACUCGAGAAUUUCUGCUAUAUCACUUCAGAACUUUCAUUGUUAUUAUUACUUGCUGAGCAUUGUUGCUCACUCUUGCUAUUCUCUUUUAACCAUUUCAGAAAGGAUUAAAGAUAAAUGGCUAGUCUAUGAUUGCAAGUAAAGUUAAGGCUAGGCGAGGAGUCAGAGGUGUUAAGGAUCCAGUGGUCGAGAAGUGUCCAGGAAGAUUGAUAAGGUUGAUGCUAGCUCGAGUUGUGCUAUUGAGAUUCAGAUGAAGUCAUAGCUGGAAUAGUUGACAAUGAUUCUUCUUAUCGAAGAUGAUCUGAUUUGGUAAGAGAUGUUGUGUAAUAAUAGUGGUUGAUUCUAAUUUCAAUACUGUAACCUGGAAGCGAUCCUGUUGUUUUGGGGGUGAAGAUGUUCUCUUUUAAAUCUUUUAUUUAACGUCUUUCAAAUCUUUUAUUAAAUGUUUUCAAGUUUUAAA